rnacentral:rRNA from 1 species
GUUGAACGCUGGCGGCGUGCCUAACACAUGCAAGUCGAGCGAAUGGACGAGAAUUUUGCCUCGCUGAUGCUAGCGGCGGGCGGGUGAGUACCACGAGGCUACCCUAUCUUGAAGACUGGGAUACCUUCGGGGAACCGGAGCUAACACCGGUUCAUAUUGUGAACCGCAUGGUUCAAAAGUGAAAGACGGUCUUGCUGACACUAAUAGAUGUAUCCGCGCUGCAUUAGCUAGUUGGUAAGGUAACGGCUUACCAAGGCAACGAUGCAUAGCUGACCUGAGAGGAUGAUCAGCCACACUAGAACUGAGACGCGGUCCAGACUCCUACGGGAGGCAGCAGUAGGGAAUCUUCCACAAUGGGCGAAAGCCUGACGCAGCAAUGCCGCGUGAGUGAUGAAGGUCUUCGGAUUGUAAAGCACUGUUAGUAGGGAGGAACAUCUGUGUAAGUAACUCUGCAUAUCUUGACGUUACCUAAUCAAAAAGCCACGGCUAACUACGUG